ensembl:lncRNA
GUUUCCCUCCAAAGAGAAGCUCUCACCAAGGCGAUGAAGACGCUGUACUUCCUGGCUAAGGAAGAGAUGGCGCACACGACCAAGUUUUCAUCGCUCGUGGACUUCGCUAGAGACCACCUGGGAUGUGAUGUCUUUUCACAUCUAUCCCAGGGUGAAAAUGCGACGUACACGAGUGAGCGCAUCCUACAGGAGCUCCUACAGGUGAUGGCAGACCAGCUACAGGCGGAACACAGCAGGUUACUUGCAGGCUCCACCUACUUCGGUCUGCAGGUGGACGAGACGACAGACAUUACAACAACGAAAGAAUUGGUGCUGCUCACACGGUAAGUCUUAGGUUUUUAUGUUGACUAACAUUCAGUAAACGAUGUAAGCCUACCAAUGUAGAUUGAAACUAGCUGCCAAAAAUGUUUGCUUUAUUGUGAUGCUUUUUUUCCAGGUUGAUCACAGGAGGGGAAGUCAUCAACCGUUUUGCUGGGAUGGUGGAGGUGGAUGACGGCAAAGCCAACACCAUCAGUUCUGCCAUCCUGGCCUGGAUACAGAAGAAGGGCCUGGAUGUGCAAAAACUGAUGGGGCUUGGCAGUGAUGGCGCGCCUGUGAUGACAGGUGGGUAGCAGUUAAUUUCAAAUGAGUGAGUUAUUGUAAAGUAUUCAUUGUAUAUAAAGUUGUCAUUUAAUUUCUCAUGGCACAUGAAAAGUACUCACAAUUUACCUUCAAUGUCUUCCAGGAAAGAGGAAUGGAGUGGCAACACUUCUCAAGGGCCAGAGCAAGCAUCUAGUUGCCAUCCAUUGCAUUGCGCAUAGGCUGGCACUAGCAGCUGGCCAGGCUGGAGAAGCUGUUGCUUACUUCCGAAACAAGUUCAAGCAAAAUCUCGGGGAGCUGUUUCGGUUCUAUGACAACUCAGCAUGUAGGAUGUCCCGCCUACACCAGAUCCAGGACAUGCUGGACAUCAUCAGAACAACGAUGAAGAACGCUGUGGAUACCAGAUGGCUCAGCCACGACGAGGCAUGCAAGGCUCUUCAUAAGAGCCUGCCCGUCGUGCUGCUUAGCCUGGACCACGAGGCCAAGGACAACGUGACAGCAUUUGGACUCCUGGCGUGGCUGAAGGACUAUCGGACUCUGGCCACCCUCUAUCUCCUUUGUGACCUGCUGCCACAUUUGUCUGCACUUUCGCGGUGUUUCCAGCAUGCAAAGAUUAAUUUACUGCAGAUACACAGCAAUGUGCAGACAACUGUGGCCCUGGUGAGGACGAUGAGGGAGGGCAUGAACGGUAGUAGGCUCUCAAAGCUGGAGCAGGAUCUGUUAGCAGGUGGCCGUCUGGCGGAGUUCUCCAUCUCCAUGUCCCCUGAGCUGAAGCUCAAGUGGCAGAAGGAGGUGAGGGAACCCUUCAUCGACCGCCUGCUGCAGAACCUGCAGGACCGUUUUGACUCCACCCAGCUGCUGUCCAGCUUUGCUAUCCUGGACUCAUCCCUGAUGCCACAGCCCAUGCCCGAGGACUAUGGCUCUGCCGAGGUUGAGUGCAUUGUGGCACAUUAUGGUGGCGAUGUCGGGGGGAUUGUUGAACCUGAUGCUGUCUAGGAUGAGUGGUACAGUCUGCGUGAGUACAUCAGGCAGAAUAACGGCUUGUCUCAGGAGCAGCUGGUGAAACUCCUCCUGACAGAAGACACCAUGGCAGAGCUGUAUCCCAGCAUGAGACUGCUGGCAUCGGUGCUGAUGGUCAUCCCAGUCAGCACUGCUGACAGCGAAGGGGCCUUCAGCACGCUGAAGAGGGUCAAGGCCAGACUGCGCAGCAGGAUGACCAAUAAGACUCUGAAUGCACUACUGACCAUCAGCAUAGAUGGUCCAAGUGUCAAUGAUUUUGAUUUUGACAGGGCAGUUUCAGCCUGGGGGGCAAUGAGGAACAGAAGGAUUUCUGUGUAGGAAACAUGUUUCAUUUGCUAAUUGUUUCUAAACUGUACAUUUCAUUUUCAGCACUUUUAUUUUUCAUUUUCGUUAUACCUCUCAUGUACACAAUUGGUAAGCAGUCACAAGUUCAUGUCAUACUACUUUCAUUUUGUAUGAUGAUGUAGACUGUAUAAUGUUGACUGUAUAUAGUAAAUAACAUUCUAUUCUAUCAUAAGAAGAAGUUGGUGUUAUACAUUUUCUUCGAUGAACAUGACGGGGGGGGGGGGGGGGAUAGUAUACCUGAAUAGUAUACUGAAAGAUAAUAAAAUCCUUGUUUGAAAUUCAGUUCAGUAUAGUCUGUCAUUUUUGUAUAAUGGUUACUAUUCUGUAGUGUCUUGUCACAUGUCAAUAUCUCAAUAUGGCCACCUAGAAGCAUGUGGAAACCCCUCCAACCGCCCAUCAAUUGAAUGUGUGAAAAAAUUAUGUUUUGAAUCAUGGAGAAAAGGUUUUAUAGUCACCAAAAUGCUACAGUAAUGUUUCCAGUGUCACAGAAGUGAGUAAAAGCAUUUGGCACAAUUUGGCCAUUCGGAGACGUUUUGGAAAGGUUCGUGGACGUCAGUGACACCACAAACUAAAAACUCCAUAACUCCCAUAAGGUUAGGCCUAGAAGUCUAAAAUUUCAUCCAGGUGUAGUUGACAAGAUGUAGAAUGUAUGUGAUAUAUGCACUUUCGUUCAGAAGAAGGCAAUUUGUUCCCUUGGAAUAUGGCAGCUUUUUUGUUAAGUUAUCCUAUCCAUAUUCCAGACUGUAUAAGUUUCCAUUUUUCAUUAAAUAAAUUUGAUGGAAGUACAUAUCUUGUUUACUUGAAGAUUACUUACAUUAAAUCCAGGGCUUGACUGUUUUCAGUGUUUUCCACCAAUAGAGGGGGCUCUCUUGCAAGUGGAGCUUUCCAUGGUCAAAGUUAGGUAGGUCAAAGUGCAAAUGUUUACAUAGUCAUAAAAUAAACUAUUUUGUGGCUUUGAAAAAUACAAGUCAAAUGUUCAAAAAACCUCUUUAUCUACUUAAUGAGUGUAGUUUUAGAUUUAUUAACAAAUGUAGCCACAGAUGAAGAAAAAAUCAAUCUUGUAUGGAAAAAAGCAUAAAAAUCGCAAUAAUCGAAGAAUCGUGGCACCAAUAAUCGAAUCGAAUCGACAAUUGUUAUAAUCGAAGAAUUGAAGCUCCCAUAAUCAAAAUCGAAUCGAAUCGUGAGGUACCCUUGUUGGAACACCCCUAAUUAUCAGCCAAUCAGAAGUGAAAUGGGGCGGGUCUUGGAAAUAUGUGCUGAAUUGAUACCCGUGCAGAGAUGUCAUGUAGGGGAUUAGGAUGGAGAGUAAAUUCAUGAAGCCUGGGGAGGAUGCCCACCAAAUUGAUAACGGAUUAACAAAUAAAUAGCGCUGGGCGUGGAUAGAAGAAAUAGGUAAAGACGGUAAGACUUUUGGUAGCUUGUGCAAGAAGUUAAGAGCAGCAGGCGCUUGCCCCUGCGCUUUGUGCUUGAGAAAGCUAAUCUACGCAGCUAGCAGUAAAAAAGUGCUGCCACGUCACAAAUCAGACCCCACUCAUAGAGCAGCUGUUUGCACUCUCCAACACACAACAAGAUUACCGGGAGCAACAACCACAGCUGACGUACCGGCAUCAAUGGCUGACCGCGUGUGUGAAAAUACGACUUGAAAAUACGCGUGUGCAUGUUCAUCACAGAACAAAAUUGCUCUGACAAAACUGUCAAUUGAGUAAAAACUUUACACAGGAAAGUAAUUAUAGC